rnacentral:rRNA from 1 species
AUUGAACGUUGGCGGCACGCCUAAUACAUGCAAGUCGAACGAGAAAGCACUUCGGUGCGAGUACAGUGGCGGACGGGUGAGUAACGCGUAGGAAUCUACCUAGUAGUGGGGGACAACUCGAGGAAACUCGAGCUAAUACCGCAUACGCUCUAUGGAGGAAAGUGGGGGAUCCUCGGACCUCACGCUAUUAGAGGAGCCUGCGUUAGAUUAGCUAGUUGGUGAGGUAAAGGCUCACCAAGGCUACGAUCUAUAGCUGGUCUGAGAGGACGAUCAGCCACACUGGAACUGAGACACGGUCCAGACUCCUACGGGAGGCAGCAGUAGGGAAUCUUGGGCAAUGGGCGAAAGCCUGACCCAGCGAUGCCGCGUGUGCGAAGAAGGCCUUAGGGUUGUAAGGCACUUUCAGUUGCGAAGAAAAGCUACGGUUUAAUAUGCCGUGGUCUUGACGUUAACAACAGAAGAAGUACCGGCUAACUCCGUGCCAGCAGCCGCGGUAAUACGGAGGGUACGAACGUUAAUCGGAAUUACUGGGCGUAAAGCGCGCGUAGGCGGUUUGAUAAGUGGGAUGUGAAAGCCCCGGGCUCAACCUGGGAACUGCAUUCCAAACUGUCAAACUAGAGUGUGGUAGAGGGAGGUAGAAUUUCCUGUGUAGCGGUGAAAUGCGUAGAUAUAGGAAGGAAUACCGAUGGCGAAGGCAGCCUCCUGGACCAACACUGACGCUGAGGUGCGAAAGCGUGGGGAGCAGACAGGAUUAGAUACCCUGGUAGUCCACGCCGUAAACGAUGAGAACUAGCCGUUGGGGCCUUUAAGGCUUUGGUGGCGCAGCUAACGCGAUAAGUUCUCCGCCUGGGGAGUACGGCCGCAAGGUUA